GGACCGGCCGGCAGGCCUAAACAUGCAGUCGAGCGGUAGCACAGAGAGCUUGCUCUCGGGUGACGAGCGGCGGACGGGUGAGUAAUGUCUGGGAAACUGCCUGAUGGAGGGGGAUAACUACUGGAAACGGUAGCUAAUACCGCAUAAUGUCGCAAGACCAAAGUGGGGGACCUUCGGGCCUCAUGCCAUCAGAUGUGCCCAGAUGGGAUUAGCUAGUAGGUGGGGUAACGGCUCACCUAGGCGACGAUCCCUAGCUGGUCUGAGAGGAUGACCAGCCACACUGGAACUGAGACACGGUCCAGACUCCUACGGGAGGCAGCAGUGGGGAAUAUUGCACAAUGGGCGCAAGCCUGAUGCAGCCAUGCCGCGUGUGUGAAGAAGGCCUUCGGGUUGUAAAGCACUUUCAGCGGGGAGGAAGGCGAUAAGGUUAAUAACCUUGUCGAUUGACGUUACCCGCAGAAGAAGCACCGGCUAACUCCGUGCCAGCAGCCGCGGUAAUACGGAGGGUGCAAGCGUUAAUCGGAAUUACUGGGCGUAAAGCGCACGCAGGCGGUCUGUCAAGUCGGAUGUGAAAUCCCCGGGCUCAACCUGGGAACUGCAUUCGAAACUGGCAGGCUAGAGUCUUGUAGAGGGGGGUAGAAUUCCAGGUGUAGCGGUGAAAUGCGUAGAGAUCUGGAGGAAUACCGGUGGCGAAGGCGGCCCCCUGGACAAAGACUGACGCUCAGGUGCGAAAGCGUGGGGAGCAAACAGGAUUAGAUACCCUGGUAGUCCACGCCGUAAACGAUGUCGAUUUGGAGGUUGUGCCCUUGAGGCGUGGCUUCCGGAGCUAACGCGUUAAAUCGACCGCCUGGGGAGUACGGCCGCAAGUAAACGAAAAUUAAAUGUUGGGGGGGGGG
rnacentral:rRNA from 1 species